UGGCGUCUCCCGUGAACUGGUGUCGUGUGCUCCCGCCCCUGCGCUGGGCUAGACAUCCUUUUACGUCAUCUCUUCCACAAAGCCUCGCCACCGCACACCAUCCCCGCAAAAAAGAGAAGUCACCCACAGAGUCAUGACGACACUCAGGCAGCCUCUGGAGAGGCCCAGGUGGGAAGCAACUGAGGCCUUCCAUGAGCUACCAGCACCACCUUGCCAGCCUGUGACUGCACCACCUUGGAAGCAGAUCUUCCAGCUCCAGUCACUUCUGAUGACUGCAUCCCUGGUGACAUCUUGGCCGCAGCCUCAUGGGAAGCCCUGGGACAGCCAUUCCUGAAUUUGAGACCCACACAACCUCUGCACCAUGAGGCUUGCAGGAUCUUAGUUCGCUGACCAGGGAUUGAACCUGGGCCCAUGGCAGUGAAAGUGCCAAGUCCUAAGCAAUGGACCGCCAGGGAAUUCCCUGUUUUUCUUUCUUGAAUUGAGUCUUUUUUAGGAAGAAUUGAAUA